GGGGGAUAACAACGGGAAACCGUUGCUAAUACCGCGUACGAUUCAUAGGCGCAUCGCUUGUGAAUGAAAGGUGGCCUCUAUAUAUAAGCUAUCGCUGAAGGAGGGGAUUGCGUCUGAUUAGCUAGUUGGAGGGGUAACGGCCCACCAAGGCAAUGAUCAGUAGCCGGUCUGAGAGGAUGAACGGCCACAUUGGGACUGAGACACGGCCCAA
rnacentral:rRNA from 1 species